CUACGGGGGGCUGCAGUGAGGAAUAUUGCACAAUGGGGGGAACCCUGAUGCAGCAACGCCGCGUGGAGGAUGACGCAUUUCGGUGUGUAAACUCCUUUUAUAUGUCAAGAAAAUGACGGUAGCAUAUGAAUAAGCACCGGCUAACUCCGUGCCAGCAGCCGCGGUGAAUACGGAGGGUGCAAGCGUUACUCGGAAUCACUGUGGCGUAAAGGACGCGUAGGCGGGUUGGAAAGUCAGGUGUGAAAUCCUACAGCUUAACUGUAGAACUGCACUUGAAACUUCUAAUCUAGAGUAUGGGAGGGGGAGAUGGAAUUAGUGGUGUAGGGGUAAAAUCCGUAGAUAUCACUAGGAAUACCUAAAGCGAAGGCGAUCUCCUGGAACAUUACUGACGCUAAGGCGUGAAAGCGUGGGGAGCAAACAGGAUUAGAUACCCUGGUAGUC
rnacentral:rRNA from 1 species